rnacentral:sRNA from 1 species
GGGAUUAUAGGUCAUGAGCCUUUUUAAAAAAUUUUAUUCAAUUAUUAUUAUUAUUUAUUUAUUUAUUUAUUUUUUGAGACGGAGUCUCGCUCUGUUUUUUUUUUUUGGAGACAGAGUCUCACUCUGUUGCCUAGGCUGCAGUGCAGUGGCACGAUCUUGGCUCACUGCAACCUCCACCUCCAGGUUCAAGCCAUUCUCCUGCAUCAGCCUCCCGAGUAGCUGGGAUUACAGGUUCAACGCCCUGUAGAUCGCCUGUUCUCCUCUAUUGUCACUGUUGCUGAACAAAAGUAUCAGUCUACCUUGUGAUCUUGAGCCAGAUGAUUGUGCAUCCAUUUACAUCUUUAAUAUAGAUCCACCUCCAUCUACUUUAAACACACCACUUUGCUUACCACAUCAUGGAUUACCGUCUCACUCUUCUGUUCUGUCACCAUCGUUUCAGCUCCAAAGUCACAAAAACUAUGAAGGAACUUGUGAGAUUCCUGAAUCUAAAUAUAGCCCAUUAGGUGGUCCCAAACCCUUUGAGUGCCCAAGUAUUCAAAUUACAUCUAUCUCUCCUAACUGUCAUCAAGAAAUAGAUGCACAUGAAGAUG